UACAUAGGUGGCAAGCGUUGUUCGGAAUUACUGGGCGUAAAGGGCGCGUAGGCGGUCUUCUAAGUCUUGUGUGAAAUCCCUCGGCUCAACUGAGGAACUGCACGGGAUACUGGAAGACUUGAGUUCGGGAGAGGGAAGCGGAAUUCCGGGUGUAGCGGUGAAAUGCGUAGAUAUCCGGAGGAAAACCGGUGGCGAAGGCGGCUUCCUGGGCCGAUUACUGACGCUGAGGCGCGAAAGCUAGGGGAGCAAACGGG
rnacentral:rRNA from 1 species